GACAGAGGGGGCAAGCGUUGCUCGGAAUUACUGGGCGUAAAGGGCGCGUAGGCGGGAUGGCAAGUCGGUCGUGAAAUCCUUCGGCUCAACCGAAGAACGUCGAUCGAUACUGCUGUUCUUGAGGGUUGCAGAGGAGACUGGAAUUCCCGGUGUAGCGGUGAAAUGUGUAGAGAUCGGGAGGAACACCGGUGGCGAAGGCGGGUCUCUGGGCAUCUCCUGACGCUGAGGCGCGAAAGCGUGGGGAGCAAACGGG
rnacentral:rRNA from 1 species